UCUGUUGUCCAGACUGGUCUUGAACUCCUGGCCUCAAGCAAUCCUCCUACUUGGCCUCCCAAAAUGUUGGGAAUACAGGCAUGAGUCACUGCAUCUGGACUCCCUAUAAAUUUCUUUGGCCAGAAUUGGGUCACACACUCACUCCUGAAUUGGAAAGGGAAAUGAAGUGACUAUGCAGGUCCUCUGGGGUGAAAACCACGCUGGAGUGGAGGCUGCAAUGCCCACCACACGCAUCAGUGGCCAGCCUAUGGGUAGGUUGCGAUUAAGACAGGUGCCCUCUGCUGGUGCAUACAGGGAUUAUCCCCAGCCCCAAACCCACUGAGGCCAAAGGCAGAGAGCUUUGACCUGGCAUGGCAGGUGCCAGGACUGACACAUCUGUGCUCUCCUCAGGCGACAAUUUCUGUGGCCCUCAAGCUAUGCCUGGCCUCAGACUGAAGCAUCAGCUUCCAAAAUGAUGCAUUGUUCUCCCUGACUCCCACACACUCUGGCUCACAGAGGACCUGAGCAAGCAGAGCCAGCACCCCACCCCGGCGUUGGCCCCUGAAUCAGGGAAGGGAGACUCUGCCUGAGUCUGCUUUUGAUGGGGCUUUGCCAGCCCCGCAGGGCUCAUUUUCUCUGUCUCCUGCUAAAUUCCCUGGCUGCUCCUCCGCUGUCAGGUUGCCAAGCCCCGAGUGUCUCCUGGCUCCGUCUGCAGCAGGAAAUGGGCCUGACAAUUGCUCUUCCAGAGCUAGUGAUUUUUCAAUAUGUAGUUGCAUGGAUCCCACCCAUGCUUCAUCUCCAAAACCCCUGCUUGUGUUCAGCUCUGAUUUACUAAGCACGUACUACAAGCCUGGCUCUGUACUCAGCACUGCAGGUGUGAGGAGCAGUCGGCACAGAGGAGGCAUCUGAUGUGUUCUCCGCUUUCGGCCUCAUACUCCAGCCAUAGUUGAUGGCCACACAAUUGGAAGUGAGCUUCCUAGCCAAGGUGGCCCUGGCGGACUACAGGGCACACAAGUGGUCCAGAUUAAAAAACAGUACCGUGUGGGUUCAGAGAAGGGCAAGGUUGACACAGGCAGUACAUGUGCUGAUUAUUCUGUCUGCCCCCUACUCACCCCUGUGUCUACUCUUCCCUGCCAUGUGCCCUGGAUGCAAUGGCUGCAGGCUGCAGCCACAGGCCCUUUGCCCCAGCUUCCAGUGGGCUUGCUGGUGGAGCGGCAGGCAGGAAGUCGCAGAGCAGAGGAAAAGUGAGGCCGGGAUUUAUUUUCCCUGCUUCCUCCCUGUUUUGCCAUGAUUCUGGCAUUGGCAGGUUCCUCCAGAGCUACAGCUCUGACAGGACAAGGGGAGCUGAUGGCUUCCUGCUAUUGCUGGUCCCUGUUUCCCUAUUGGGUUCCCUGAGCCUCCCCACUCUGGAAGCAGCCCCUUUUUUCUUCAGAGUUCUCGAGGCUGUUUGGAUGCUGAUUGGCAGACCAUGUUUAGGAAGUGCUUCCUGCAGGAGCAGCACCUGCAUCUGGGCUCCUGAGAUGAGCUGAAGCUGGAUAAGCAGAGAAGAGGAAAAUGGGCUUUCUAGGGGCAGCACAGCCCCAUCAAUGUUCACGAAGAGAUGAAGUGAGCACUGGAAGACACUGCCUAGGCAGGGAGGGAAGGUGGAAAACAAGCGAAGGCUCCCCGUGGAAGCCCUUGACUGCCAGGCCAGGGAACUUGGCCUUUGUCCCAUAGGCUACAUGGAGCUGCUGGAAGCAAAAGUUUUGACUUUGUUAUUAAUGACUUUGUUUUGGUUUUUAUUUCUACCUUUUCCUUGUUAUUGAUUUUAUUGUCAUCAUUAAUAACAACUACUAUGUAUUUAAUCCUUACUGUUAGGGGUUGAUUGGGCCCCCUUUCAUUAGUAUGUUGAAGUCCUAACCCCCAGUCCCUCAUGAGUGUGACCUUAACUGGAGACAGGGUCGUUAAAGAGUUAAAAUGAGGAUGGGCCCUAAUCCACUAUGACUGGUGUCCUUACAAGAAGGGGAAAUUUGGACAUGGAGACACACAUAGAGGGAAGAUGAUGCAAAGGGAGAGGAAGACGGCCACAUCCACAAGCCAAGGAGAGAGGCCUGGAACAGAUCCUGCCCUCACAGCCCUCAGAAGGAAACAACCCCCCAGCAGCUUGAUUUUGGACUCCCAGCCUCUAGAACCAUGAGACAGUAAGUUUCUGCUGUUUAAGUCUGUGGUUUCUUAUAGUAUUCCGAGGACACUGACGCACUCAUCAUGGAACCAUCUUGUGCUGAGCAGUGCAUCAUCAGACGUGUUCUCACUCCAGCUGCACCUUGUGGGUGAAACCUCUGGCCUGUCUCUGCCCCAGCACACUCUCAUUCUGGCCACAGCACCUAGCACUCUGACACUUUCCCUUGGUUAUUAACAUAUUUGUUUACUGAGCACCUAUCAUGUGCCAAGCACUAUUCUAGGUCCUGGGGAAACAAAACAGACAAAAACUCUUGCCAUCUUGGAGCUGACGUCUGAUGAUUCUGUAUUUGUUUCCUGUCUGCCUCCACCAGAGGAAGAACCGCUCGUGAGAGGGGCUGUGUCUGUUGCAGUCACCACAGUGGAACACCUGUGGAAUGCAUGCUAAGGAAACGAAGAGUAAAACCUUGACUCCCCUUGCCCAUUUUGGUUUCAAUCACGUCUGAAGACCUGACUCACUUAAAAGAUCCCUGGGCCUGUUGAUGAGGGCGACUGCCUUGCCAAGUGAUAGUUGGUCCAAGGCCCUCUGGCCAUGGUGUGAGGAACAGGGCUUGGUGGCCUGGGGGGAAGAAGGCAGCUGGUGUGUGGUGUGGUGGACUGCUGUCACUACCCUCCUUGCUCAAUUUGCAGCCCCGAAAUUUGAGCUUUCAACUGCACUGUCUGCUGGAGGCAGGAAGGAAAGGAAAGAUGUUACCAGCUUUCUGGAGGCCCAAGUUGUAGGACAUAGAAAGCAGGUUCUAGAUGCUGAGAGAAUCCUUCCACCCCAUUUUCUGGGAAUUCUUCUCGUAGACAUUAUUUCCCCAUGCUCUCCUCUCUUGUUCCUCCCAAAGUCCUAGGACCCUUCCUGCCAGCCCCUCCUCUGCCGCAUCUGCUCUCUGUGCGGCCUGAGAGUGUAGCUCCAUUUUCGGGUCUCGUGCCUUCUUUUGGGCCCUGUGAUCCUGAGCCUGGUCACCUUGACAGUGUAAUUAUACCUGAGUUACUCUGAGCCCUGCCAGACAUGGGAUUUCUUAGCCCACAACAACCAGGGGUGAAGAGAGCUGAAAUGCUCACAUAAAUUAGUGGGGACACCAGCCUCAGGGUGGUGUGCCCUCCUCCCACACCCACAUGCCAGACCCUGAAAUCUGGACAGCCAGCCCUGCUGACCAGGGAUCAAACACAAGUUCUCAGGAAUCUCGAUGCUAGCUGUGGAUCUCUUUCUCUGCCAUGAGAAACGCUGUCCCAGUAAAACCAUGGUCCCAUGGAUAACAGUCAUGUCCCUUCUGGCAAAGUAGGAAAGUUUGUGAAUGAUUCAUACACUAAGUUUUUUUAACUAGAGUGGAUUCUAGGAUACCCCAUAAUCCCCUCACACUCAUUUUUGUUCCGAUUGGCUUUCCUGGGUGGGAAAGAAAGGAGUAGGAGGCAGCCGUAGGUGGGGAAUUGAGCACAAGUGUGGGCUGGUCCACAGAAGUGUGUCACUCUUAUAACCAUCAUCAUCUUGUGUGUUGUGGCAGAAAACACUGAGAACCAAACCUCUUUCGGGUUGUUAAGAGAUGGACUUCUGGAAGAUCCAUUAACAUAGUGCUUUGGAAACCAGCUUGGAAAAUGUGACAUUUUGUCACUUUGAUCUGCUAAGCAGCUUACAAACAUCCUCCCCCUCCUUCCCUCCACUCCCUCCAACUUCACUUCAACCCCACCAUCUGAAUUUUCCAAGUGAGAUCACAGACCCAGAACAAGACCAGACCAGGUUCACAGAGGUUUCCAGAGCGCAGUGACAGUGCCCACUCCUGGAAGAACACAAACCUGGGGAGAGAAUCCACCAAACUGUUUUAAUUUCAGAGACAGAUACUCAGCUACAAUGGAGGAUGAAAGCCAGACCCAUACUCAACUGGGCCUAGGAUUUCACUGACACCAAGAGGAACCUGCAUCCAAACUGGAUUCUAGAAGAAAAGGAGAAGUAGGGAAGCUGAAGAGUGCCAGGCCCUUGGGGACUGAAGCACUCAAGCAGUUCCAUUUGCUGCAGUUCUCUGUGUCCCUGGACCGUGGGGAUCAGUUUUAAUCCCUCAGUGAAUAAGCCAGCUGCUCCUUCCCUGACUGUGUUCUUCAUUGUGCAUGAGGUCUUCUUGCUGUUAGGCUGCCUCCUGAACCUGCACCUGCUGCCUCCGUGUGUCUUGGCUUUCUUCCUCUACUCAGAGCUUUUUGUGAACAUGGCUUGGUCUUCCCCUAAACUCCACUCCUCUGUUUGCCAACGCUUUUCUUCUGACCCAAUGCUCAAAAUCCUAACUGUAAAACCUCAGGGAGAUGAUCUUAAGCAUUUGAGGAAGAAUCUUAGUUGGUAAACUAACUUCUCUAUCUUCAUUCCUCAGGUCUCUCCACUGCCUCUUACUCACUACCUCAAGAUCCUUGAUUGGAAAAAGCAAAAGCAAAUGAGGGUCUGGAAAAAGAUCAUUGCCUCAGAAGACUUGAGGAGAAAACGUGUGAUUAGAAUAGGUGUCUGUUUUCUGCGAAUGUGAGCACCAUUACGCUUAGGCAUCAU